GACGAACGCUGGCGGCGUGCUUAACACAUGCAAGUCGAACGGUGAGGCCCUUCUCUUGUGGGGGGCUGGAGUGGCGAACGGGAGAGUAACGUAUGAGUAACCUGCCCUUGACUUUGGUAUAGCUUCACGAAACUGGGGUGUAUACCGUAUAGGAUCUCCUGGGUCAUGGUGGGGGUUGGACAGUUGCGGCGGUUGGGGCUGGUCUCGCGGCUUAUCAGCCUGUUGGUGGGGUAGUGGCUGACCUAGGCUUUGAAGGGUAGCCGGCCUGAGAGGGUGAGCGGCCAGAUUGGGACUGAGAUACGGCGCAGACUCCUACGGGAGGCAGCAGUGGGGAAUAUUGCACAAUGGGCGGAAGCCGGGUGCGGCAACGGCGCGUGCGGGAUGACGGCCUUCGGGUUGUAAACCGCUUUCGCCUGGGACGAAGCGUGAGUGACGGUAAUGGGUAAAGAAGCACCGGCUAACUACGUG
rnacentral:rRNA from 1 species